rnacentral:rRNA from 1 species
GACGAACCGUGCGAACGUUGUUCGGAAUCACUGGGCUUAAAGGGCGCGUAGGCGGCCGGGUUGGUCGUGGGUGAAAUCCCCCAGCUUAACUGGGGAACUGUCUACGAUACUGCCUGGCUCGAGGGAGGAAGGGGCGGUCGGAACUGUCGGUGGAGCGGUGAAAUGCGUUGAUAUCAUCAGGAACUCCGGUGGCGAAGGCGGCAUGCUGGACCUUCACUGACGCUGAGGCGCGAAAGCUAGGGUAGCGAACGGG